GACGAACCGUGCGAACGUUGUUCGGAAUCACUGGGCUUAAAGGGCGCGUAGGCGGCUUCGCAAGUCCGGGGUGAAAGCCCCCAGCUCAACUGGGGAAGUGCCUUGGAUACUGCGGGGCUCGAGCGAGGCAGGGGUCGUGGGAACUUCCGGUGGAGCGGUGAAAUGCGUUGAUAUCGGAAGGAACGCCGGUGGCGAAAGCGCACGACUGGUCCUCUUCUGACGCUGAGGCGCGAAAGCCAGGGGAGCAAACGGG
rnacentral:rRNA from 1 species